rnacentral:tRNA from 1 species
AAGCUGGCCUUGACGAGUUGGUAGCUCGUCGGGCUCAUAACCCGAAGGUCGUUGGUUCGAGUCCAACUCCCGC